rnacentral:rRNA from 1 species
CAGUCGCCGCGGGAAUACGGAGGGAGCUAGCGUUGUUCGGAAUUACUGGGCGUAAAGCGCACGUAGGCGGUUACUCAAGUCAGAGGUGAAAGCCCGGGGCUCAACCCCGGAACUGCCUUUGAAACUAGGUGACUAGAAUCUUGGAGAGGUCAGUGGAAUUCCGAGUGUAGAGGUGAAAUUCGUAGAUAUUCGGAAGAACACCAGUGGCGAAGGCGACUGACUGGACAAGUAUUGACGCUGAGGUGCGUAAGCGUGGGGAGCAAACAGGAUUAGAUACCCCCGUAGUCCCUGUCUCUUAUAC